GCAAACCACACAACUAAGAGUGGAUCGGAAG
rnacentral:piRNA from 1 species